GGGUACUAGGGCUGCAGAGGGGCAGCCCAGGAAUAGGCAGAGGCAGCUGGUCCAACCCACCUUGCUGAUAAUGAGUGGUUUACAGGCUGCAGUCUGCCCCAGUGAGCAGGGGCUAGACAAUGACUGGCAGUAGCCACUUAGGCGAGGUGGGGAUAGAGGGUUGGGGUACUGUGGUGGGCAGAACCCCUGGGCAAAGGGCACCGGGAUCUGGGAAGUACACAGGACCAGCGGCAGGUGAGACACCGGCCUGCAGAGGGCACUCUGGGCUGGAAAGAGCUAAUUCCCUGGAUGACCAGCAGGAGUUGCCGCACCGGUAGUAUACCAUGGUUGCAUUGUUGGUCAGAACCUGAACUGACAAACCCCUGAUGUGAAGGAGAAAGGUGAGCACCCCAUCCCAUGAGUCACGUCAAUGAUAAUCGUCUUGGAUGGAAGAGGGAACAGGACACCUCUGCACACAUUGCUCUGAUCCAUCCACCACUCCAAAGAUGCCAGACUGCAGCAAGUACGCAGACCAAUUUGUCCAAAGAAUGCCUGGUUGGUCGAUAGACUUGAGCUUUGCUACCCCUGGAGGCUGUACCGGCAAAGCCUGGCAUGUUGAGUCGCAUAGGCCACAUGACAUUAGGUACCUAAUAACCUUAGGAUCAAAAUGUGGUGUUGGAGUCUGACUUGAGUGAAUUUCUCAGCUGAGGAAUGUCCCAGAAUCUUUCCAGGAGUAGAUAGCCAAUCGAAUUUAUAGAGUUGAGUAGGGCCCCAGUGAAUUUUGAGUUUCUGUGUUGGGGCUAACAGAUUUCCCUUUACUUUCUAUGGGCCCCAGAUGAUUGGACAGACCAGUGUAUUGGAUGUUGUGGAGAGCCAAUUGUUCGGAUCUGCCUCAAAUUAACCAACCAUCCAGAUAUGGAAAGACAUGGAUCCUUUUUCUCGUCAGAUAGGCUGCCAUUUCUGUCAUGCAGUUUGUGAAUACUUACAGAGCCAACAACAGGCCAAGGGAAGUACUGUGUACUGAUUAUACAGCUCUUGCUAUCACAAAUCUUGGAAACUUCUUGUGACUUGACAAAACUACCACAUGGAAGUAGACAUCCUGCAAACCAGUUGGUACAAUCUUGGGAAGGACUAAUUAGUGCUAGAGACAAUGUGAAAACUUAUAUAUUUGACAGACUUGUUGAGACUGUGAAGCUCUAGAAUGGAUCUCAGGCCUCCCUUGAAAUGUGGAAUCAGAAAGUAUUGUGAAUAACACCCUCCUUUCCCAAUGUCAAAUGGGAACUUCCUCUACAGCCCCCACAUAGAGCAGAGUCUGAACUCCUUGAAAAAGCACUGACUCAUGAGAGGGGUUCCUGAAGAAAGAUGGGGCUGAUGAGUGAGGAUGUGAGAUAGUCUAUCCAGUUUCCUCCUAUCUCAAUCCCACAGUGCUUAUGACCCAUUUGUCCAUAGUUAUGGACUUCAAAGCAUUGAGGAAAUGAGAGAAUAUACCCCCAAAUGGUGGGGAGGAAGAGGGUAGAUUGCUGAUGACUGUUUUGCUGUCCUUGAGUGGGAAGUCAAAUGGACUGCUUCCCCAUAGCUGAUUAAGGAUGGGAUGCCAGUAUAGUGGUAGAAUUAGACUUUCCUACAUUGAGAUUUAUGACUGUUCUUUGAAAAGCCUGUCUAUGUUGAUGGGUGAAAUAGAUGCCAAUAAUACCGCUGUUGCUGAGACCGAUAUUGGCAUCUCCUGGGUGUUGGAGUGAAGAGUCACUUGAGAGUCCUUAAACAAAUUUAAAGUCUCAUCAAUUUUAUUAGCAAAUAAAAACUGACUAUCAACGGGAAGG